CCUCCUUCUCCUACCCCUCUUCCAUCCGGCCCACCCGAUUUCUCCCUCCCUUCUCCUCCUAUUCGUCCCUCCAUCUCUCCUUCUUCCUUCUUUACCCUUAUUGGUUGGUUUGAUUUGUUCUUUCCAGCAACCAAAUUGAACCUUCCCGAAAAUCUUUCUACCGAUCCAUUUGCAAAGUCUAGGGCAUGUGAUCGUGGGGGCUUAUCUGUUCAGACUAGUAGGGGGUAAUGAGGUCUGGUUUAAGGAGCUUUGAUCUGCAGUGGGUGGGAUUUCAGGGAUUUUGGAUCUUGUUGGUUUGAUGGGGUGGGUUUUGGAUGUUGGGUCCGCUUGGUUCUCCACCAUUCUUUUGACCACUCUCUUCCUUUGCACUCAUAUCCCCCUCCUUCUUGCGGCCCACCCUUUCUCUCUCCUUUGGAGCGUUCAGAUCUGAUCUGGUUGGAGUUGGGAGCUAUCUGGGUUUCGCAGAGGUUGGAGGUGGUUGGCGUCUUUGGUGGUGCUGAGCUUUCUUGUCUUUUGACCCUAUCAGUUGCUUGAAGCUUGUUGUUCUACUACUUGUUCGACUGAUUUGGUGUUUUAUGGGGUUUCCAAUCUAUUUUUUUAAUUUUAUUGCAUAUUUCAUUCUUUCAGAUUGGAUGUUUUUGAUGCUGGGCUUUGGGUUAUCUGGUUGGUUUUCUGAUUUGAAUGUUUGUAUUCCACUCAUAUCUCUUAAUGUUUAGAUAUGAAUUUUCUCAGUGGGAACAUCUUUGGCCAUCGUCGGAUUCCAUUAUGGUUUCCUGGUACCGAUUAGGUUGGUCCCUUGUACUAAAUUUAAUUUGCUUGGUUUGGUUGUGUUUUCCUUUGAUUACCCGAUUCCUUGUUGUCGGAUUGUUCCCGUUGCUGGUUUGGGGUGGAGCUUCUCCGACAUCUUUGGCUGGUGUUUUCUGCAAGUGGGGCCCAUGUGGACAGGAUGACUAUGACUUACUGCCUAAAGCAAUGCCAUGUGGGACCCACGGAUUUUCAAAUUUCAAAUGACUGAUCCUCAUUUGGGUUGCUAGUCUCUUGAGCUCCUUUAGUCGUGGGCUAAUUAUGGCUUCCUUAGUCUAAGCCCUUGUUUGGGUCAAUUUUGAUAUUUGUUGUAUUAAUAUAUUUUAGACUCAAAAUAUAACGUUUUUUUAUUAUAGGUUAGGAUUAUGUUUCCUAGCUAAAGCUAGGUGUUUUUAGUCUUGCGGGAGAUGAGACUAAUGUAUUGUUCUUCAACGUUUUAUCUGUAAUUUUUUGCAAUUUUAAUAUACAAACCAAAUUUAGCAAAAAAAAAACACCACCCUUCUCCUUUGCUUUAAUAUGCAAUUAUCGUGAAUUUCACCUUCAAAUCCUUCCUCCAAUGCUCUCUCUCUAAUUAGGUCUUCCAAAUUUGCUACUUGAGUGUUUGUUGUUAUCUCCCUUGUUGUUGUUGUUGUUGUUGUUGUUAAUAACCAGCCUGGGACACAUAUUCUGACCAUAAUUAGACCCCAAAUAUAGUUCCAAUCCAAAACAAACUCAUUUCAUCACGCCUCUGCAGCAGUAUAACUCAAUCAGGACACCUUGCCUUUUCUCGUACCCCCGCCCCGGCGGGAAGUGCUUCUGUCUUCCGAUCAACUACCCCCGCCCCGGCGGGGGUUUUAGCUUCAUGAUACCCGCCCUAGCGGGGGGUCAAUCUGCUGUAGUCCAGCUUUUGCUCAUUUUCUUGCCCACUUUAGCCAAAAAAUCACCUUUUAAAGCCCAAAUGCUAUGCCACCGCACCUAAACAUAAAACAACACUAAACAAGUAAAAC
rnacentral:lncRNA from 1 species